ensembl:lincRNA Hottip uncharacterized LOC110314043
AACAGUGACAAAGAGAUGAAGUACCGGUUCCAGGCUCCAAUUCUCGGAGACUCGAGGGCAGUUUACAUACAGGUCAGACACGGCUGGAGGCCAAGGUCAAGUUGAAAGUUGCUGUCUAGUCAGCAUGAGAAACUACAAUGAAAGCCCAGAGACAGAGCCGACUGCCCACCACCCCUCUCUCUCAAUUCCCCCAUCCUUUACAAUCUGGAUUCUGGCUCUGUUUGGCUUCUCAGCAUCAUUUUUUUUGCUCUCUUUGUAGAGUUUUGGGGACGGUGUUUACAGACUGAACUGAUUCUUCUCUGUCGGCCGCCCUGCCUGCUCUUAGCUGGGUUUCCGAGCCGCCUCCGAAGUUUUCCAGCUAGGUUCAGGGGGAAAAAAAAAAAAACAAAAAACAAAAAAAAACGAAAACACAGCUCAGGAAGGCUCCACCAGCCAAUGCCUAUGCCAGUCCACCUCUGGCAGUGGCUGUACUGCUGGUCCACACAACAGCCAAGACCAGCUCCACGUUCUUCCUCCCACUCAGUUCACUGGAGCCGGGAGCCCUGCACUCGGGGGAAGGGCCUCAGCUCUACAGACUGCCAAAGUCGGCUGGGUCCCUCCGCUCCAAAAAUGGUGAGAAAGGAACUCAUCUUUUUCCGCAGAGGAAUCUGAAGCAGGUACAAGGGAACCAGCCUGGAGGCAGCCAUCAGGAAGAGCCCUCGGGAAGAGAUAACAGAGAGAACUCUCACUGCAUCACUCUCUGUUUCUUACAGAGUCUCAAAGAAGGGAGAAGGCACCUCCGCUCACACCCCUUCCCCGUUUUAGAAGCACUAGCAGCAGGUUUCAGGCUCUGGCGAGCAGCAGCCCCUACCCACGCUGCCUGAGAUCCCUUCUCUCGAGUGAGUGAUUUAGAUGGUGCCGAGAGCUCUCUCGGUGUUCUAAUGGCGUCACUGCGCUGCCCUUCACCACGUCUGGAAACUGAGACUUCACCUAAAGGACUAACCCUAAUGUGAGUUGGAUGCAGAGGGACCGAAUUCCUGUAAAUAGAGGGUCAACCUGAAGGAAUACGCUUCUUUCCACAGUGAGUGAGUGGCAGGCAGCCCGACCAGGGCACCAGCUUACAGGACUCUGGGAGUGAGCUCAGGGCCACUGGGAAGGAUGUUGGCAGAAUGGAGUACCUCCUGGCAACCCGGCGCCUGCAGCUGCCAUGUGAAAAGGACUCCCUCUCAACCUGGGUGAUGCUCACUGCACGCAACAAAACAGGAAACCAGCGCCGGGCUUUAUAUCAACAAUUACACCGUAGACGGCCUCGAGAGUUCGAAGGAAGUAGGGGGUUUGCGUCUAAGUCUGGUGCUGAUGGGCUCGGUGUUUUUCCCUGAGAAAUCAGCGUGGAGCCAGGAGAGCUGGGCCCACAUGGGUCCUCCGUAAGGACACUCCCCAUCUGGCUGUGAAUUCUUAAUAGACAAAGCAACAGAGGGAGGGAAACUCAUCAGCAAGGAGAAAGGGGAAAACUCAAGACCCCUUCAAGUACACACUGAGGUGUAAUCAGAUUUUACAGGCACAUUAUAUACUGUAACCAUAGCGAUGUGUGUGCCUUCAUAUGCACACGCACAGAUUCACACAUCAAAUGUACACAGACACAAGCGUAGUGAAAUACAGUCAUUAUGCCAAGUUCUAAGGGGAAAAAAAAAAUCACCUUGUCAAAGCAGCCUGGUGGCCAGUUUCCUGUCCUCUGGUUCAAUUCAGCUUUCUCCAACCACUGGUCCUCCCUCCUGGGUCUGUAAAUACGGUAAAUACACCUGUCUUCAGUGGAAGGUGAGCGGUCCAUCAGCAUUUGUCUGGUUCAGAUGGCCUCCCCUAGAAUCUCUGGACCCUCCCGGAGCUGUUCCGAGCUUGUGAGGGAGCCGAGGGAGCCUCCAGCUGCAGUCCUUUGUCUAUGGGACUAGAUCCCUUCGUGGCCCAAUGCUCUGGGAAAUGAAGCAGCGCAAUAAAAACUUUUGAUAUUAGUUUUUAUAGGUAUUUACACUUUGGUGAGGGUAGCUGGGUACGGAAGCUUCGUUAAUCAGCCCCCGACCUUAGGUUCGGGUGGGAAAAGGAGCUGGCCGGAAAGGAAAGAAAGCAUCGGGAAGUCGGAGAGAAUGAAAAACAAAACAAAACUGCACAAGGUCAUUUUCUGUUCCUGGAAACUGAGUAAGUGGCCAUUCCAGGGGCUACCCAGUUGGCCACUCCCUCCUGCUUUGUACAGGGAAAAUGUUUUCUGCCUUUGCCUAAUACAAUAACUACACUUUAAAAUAUAUUUUCCCCCAAUACAUAUAAAAGUGUAGCAAGCCCCUCUACAUCCAAUUUAUCUUUGACUUUAUUAUCAUUUUAUCUUGCAUACCUUUUUUGAUAUUUAAAGCUUAAUUAAAUCCC